GCACCCUUAGCUCAACGGAUAGAGUAAAUGCUUGCGGAGCAUUUGAUACAGGUUCGAUUCCUGUAGGGUGCA
rnacentral:tRNA from 1 species